rnacentral:rRNA from 1 species
GAUCAUGGCUCAGGAUGAACGCUGGCGGCGUGCUUAAUACAUGCAAGUCGAACGAAGAUUUUCGCCGAAGUUACUCAUUGAAAAAUCUAGUGGCGGACGGGUGAGUAACGCGUGGGUAACCUGCCUUACACAGGGGGAUAACAGUUAGAAAUGGCUGCUAAUACCGCAUAAGCGCACAGAAUCGCAUGAUUCAGUGUGAAAAACUCCGGUGGUGUAAGAUGGACCCGCGUCUGAUUAGCUAGUUGGUGAGGUAACGGCCCACCCAAGGCGACGAUCAGUAGCCGGCCUGAGAGGGUGAACGGCCACAUUGGGACUGAGACACGGCCCAAACUCCUACGGGAGGCAGCAGUAGGGAAUAUUGGACAAUGGGGGAAACCCUGAUUCCCAACGACGCCGCGUGAGUGAAGAAGUAUUUCGGUACGUAAAGCUCUAUCAGCAGGGAAGAAAAUGACGGUACCUGACUAAGAAGCACCGGCUAAAUACGUGCCAGCCGCUGC